UCAGAAAAAUAAACAAAAUUCAACUAAAAGGAUCAGACUAACAUUAGUCUAUGUUUUUUGAAGUUGAAUGGCAUAUUUAUUGAAAAUGACUCAUUUGCUGGCAAAGCACAAUACUGCUAAAGAGACAGGAACAACUUUACUGAAUCCUCAGGUCGCUUUAGAAAUCUUUACAAUAUUGUCAAAAUUAAGCUUAGAGAAAAGAUAAACAUGUCUUUUCAAAAACCUGAGUGUUUGUGGAAGAGUAUUCUGAUGACUAGAAAAGGUAGACUGUGUGUGUCUCCUGUUGCUGAUACAAUUCUUAUCUGAAAAAAGAAAACCUUUUUCUUACUGAAAAGGGCUGGCCAUGCAAGAUGGCCUCAUCUUAUAUUUUUACUGUCAUCUCAUACAGGUUCUCCAGGGAAGUAUCAGUUUCAUUAGUAGCAUAAUUGAACAAAUGAUUGAACAAUUCCUUAGGGAUUAAACUCUUCUUUUUGCCUAGAAAACUAUGGUGGGAGAGAACAUAACAUAAAAUACAAUUCUCUUUCAUUGUCUUUUCCUUUGCCUGAGAAGAAUGAAUAAGAAAAAUUCCCCAAAUGUGACUUUCAGACAUUUUGUGAUGUAUGUGUGUCCUUCAAAGAUAGGUACUAAACCAGACAUAUAUGUGCAUUCUCUGGUUUAUUGACAGAAACCAAAUAUGUUUUCUCAUUUCUGCCAUUUUUUUUAUCAUAUAUUCAUGUUUCUGCUCUGGACAUCACUGCUGAGAUUUGGACAUGUUUUCUGCCUUCCAGUUACUCCUCCAGCUGCCACAAAAAGUACCUUUAUUUAAUCUGAAGACAGUAUCAUUGUAAUUUCAGAAGACAUACAAUCUGCAUAACCAGUUUUGUAGUAGCUCACUGAUAGAUUUCUGAGAGUUGAAGCAUAACAUGAUCCUCAAAUGUAGUUAAAGUGUGGCAACAGCUGCCAUUGUGACCACGACUACAGCAGCACCAGAACCACAUAAAUCAAGGUUUCAUUCAUCUUUGAGCCAGCACACAGUAGAAAGAGCCAGUGAAGAAGUGAAAGCUGCUGAGAUGAAAUGGAAAACUUCCUCCAGUGAAAAAUAUUCUCCCUGGCUCUUUCCUGGCCCAUGGACCAUCAGAUAAGCUUUGAUAUGAUAAACCAAAACAAGGACAUGACACAGUCCAUGAUGGUGUCAUCAUGAAAGGAUAACCACGAACUUCUCUGCAGUGCUGGACUAAUUUAGCUUUAAGGCAAUAUGGGGAUGAUUCUCAUUAGUAGUCAAAAAGGCAAAGAGAAAUGUAAUCUCUUCAGUAUACAACUGUUUUGUCUUGUCUUUUUAUUUCCCCUCUGAUUCCCACCUUACCAAUAUUUUUUAACUGUAGGCUGUAUGACUUUUCCUGACAUAGUCAAGUCUCCCUUGGUGCAAGCUCUGUAAAGAUAAAACAUGAAUCUCUGAACUGAAACUCUGAAAUUGUCUGACUGCAUUUAAAACAAUUUUCAUGCUCUGUUGUUAUGUCAAUUUUUAUUCCUCAGUUUCUGUGAUUUCCAUGGUUAAGCCAUAGUUAGGGAGGCUGAACUCUGCUUAUUCGAUGUAAAAAUAAUGGUUCUAAUAAUAACACAAGAAAAGAUCAAUGAGAACGUUGUAUAUUUUUUAACGUUGACCAAGACUGGUUGGUUUAGAAAAGGAAGUGUGUGUAGACAGAGGAAGCCUGGCUGUCUCUCCUUACCAAGGCAGCUCCCUUCCUCUUGCCUUACAGCCUUCCUGUCGGCACCCAGGGGUGAUUUACGGAGCCAGUGGGGGAAGAUUAUUGCCCUCCAAUGCUUUGCAUGCUCCUGAGUUCCUAAUUUUACUGACUGGAGAAGCACCAGAUAUAGCAUCAGAUUCUUCUGCAGGAAAAAAAAUACUCACUUGGAUACUGAAACUAGAAUUUUUUGAACCAUCUGUGCAAGUAUGCAAAGGGCUCCUUGGUGCAGUGCAGGCUGAGGGAGACAAGCCCUCUUCUCAUCCUGCCCAGAGGUACCUCCUACCAUCUUAGUGAAAGCAGGGGAAAGCAUGAAAGCAGCAAAUGCCCCUCUUUGCUUCUCUGCACAGCACUAGCUGGUCCAGUGCCCUUGGCUCUGUCACAAGCAGACUUUCCUUCUCCAUUGAACAAACAGGAUGCAGCCAGUCCCAUGCAAGCAGUCCCAAAGGCAUCAGAGCAGACAGCUCCCAGCUGAGAACCCCAGCAGCAGCUCCUGUUGCCCAUUCUCUGCCUGUGCUCUCCAGAAAUGCUACCAAACUGAGGAGCAGACUGAGAAAGCAGAUUACUGCAGAGGGCAGAGGCUAAGAUGGUAUUUUCCUGCUGAGCCAAUUCUUGCCUUUCAUAACACUGAUGAGCUUAUAGGUUUAACACUGAUGAACUAAUAGGCUGAGUGUGAUG